rnacentral:rRNA from 1 species
CUGCAGUUGCUCAUCCGGGCUUUUGCCCGGUGCACUCUUCUGCUGUCAGGCCAGCAUCGGUUCGGGCGGUCGGAUAAAGGCUUCGGGAAUGUAGCUCCUCUCGAGGAGUGUUAUAGCCCGUUGCGAAAUGCGGCCAGCCUGAACUGAGGUCCGCGCUUCGGCUAGGAUGCUGGCGUAAUGGUUGUAAGCGGCCCGUCUUGAAACACGGACCAAGGAGUCUAACAUCUGUGCGAGUGUUUGGGUGUCAAACCCGUACGCGUAAUGAAAGUGAACGGAGGCGGGAACCCCUCGGGGUGCACCGUCGACCGAUCCUGAUGUCUUCGGAUGGAUUUGAGUAAGAGCAUAGCUGUUGGGACCCGAAAGAUGGUGAACUAUGCCUGAAUAGGGUGAAGCCAGAGGAAACUCUGGUGGAGGCUCGCAGCGGUUCUGACGUGCAAAUCGAUCGUCAAAUUUGGGCAUAGGGGCGAAAGACUAAUCGAACUAUCUAGUAGCUGGUUCCUGCCGAAGUUUCCCUCAGGAUAGCAGUAACGUUUUCAGUUUUAUGAGGUAAAGCGAAUGAUUAGAGGCCUGGGGGUUGAAACAACCUUCACCUAUUCUCAAACUUUAAAUAUGUAAGAAGUCCUUGUUGCUUAGUUGAACGUGGACAUUUGAAUGUAUCGUUACUAGUGGGCCAUUUUUGGUAAGCAGAACUGGCGAUGCGGGAUGAACCGAACGCGGAGUUAAGGUGCCGGAAUGCACGCUCAUCAGACACCACAAAAGGUGUUGGUUCAUCUAG